rnacentral:rRNA from 1 species
AACGAACGCUGGCGGCAUGCCUAACACAUGCAAGUCGAACGAGACCUUCGGGUCUAGUGGCGCACGGGUGCGUAACGCGUGGUAACCUGCCCUUAGGUUCGGAAUAACUCCCCGAAAGGGGUGCUAAUACCGGAUAAUGUCUUCUGACCAAAGAUUUAUCGCCUUUGGAUGGGCCCGCGUUGGAUUAGCUAGUUGGUAGGGUAAAAGCCUACCAAGGCGACGAUCCAUAGCUGGUCUGAGAGGAUGAUCAGCCACACUGGGACUGAGACACGGCCCAGACUACUACGGGAGGAAGCAGUGGGGAAUAUUGGAAAAUGGGCGAAAGCAUGAUAAAGCAAUGAGGGGUGAGUGAUGAAGGGAUUAGGGUUGUAAAGCUGUUUUAACAGGGAUGAUAAUGACAGUACCGGGAGAAUAAGCUCCGGCUAACUCCGUG